rnacentral:lncRNA from 1 species
CACGGCGGAAAGACGCCCGAGCGAGCGGACGGGAGAGUUCGACCCGCGCCAACUUCGGCGGGUUCCAUGGCCCGGUGGGCCGCGCUAGGGGCGUUGGGCGCGGGCGCGCGGUGGGGGCGGGGAGCGGCGCCCUGCGCAUGCGCGCUCCGCCGCUCGGGCCUGGGCGGACGGAGGGCAGCGGGCCCCAGGCGUCGGCGCGGGCGGACGGACGGCCUGACGGGCGGGUCCCCCGAAGUUCUGGGCAGCCGUGUUCACCUGGCUGGUAUGGCCGUCGGUAAAUUCCAGGAAAGCAGCGCUUCAUCUCCCAGGUUGUUUCAGGAAGGCUCUUGAAAGCAUCCACAUGCAAACCACAGGGGCAAAAAGCCUGGGAGCCUGAAUUUACCCAAAACAUCCAUCUUGGGUCCAGGAAGACAUACCCAGAAGUCAUUGAUAUUCCUUUGGUGUAAGCCACUAAAAUGUACAGUUCCAAAUAUGUCGAUCUUUUAUUUUUGUUGUUGCCCACAUUUUCACAAAACCCUAUCAGGAAGGUGACAGCUAAGUGUUACGUGAGGCCAAGUAAGCCGAAAGAAAGUAGUCUUAACAUUAUCUUAGUAUCCUCAGAAAAAUUAAUUCAAAGCCAUAACUAAUGACCACCAACUACAUGCAGGGCCUUUUGAGGGAAUACCACACUUACAAAAACAGUCUGUCUCCCAGAAUACUUGGAACCUUAAGACAAGAAGGACACAGGCCUAGUAAAAAAAAAAGUCCAUAGUACCUUCAAAAGGACAGAACAAUUAAUUUCAAAAAUAGGAAAGACCCUCUUAAUUAAAACAGUAAAUGGUUGGGUACUAAAGGAUAAAAAAGGGUUUUCUAUGUGGAGUCAACAGGGUAAAGAACGAACAAACUUAAAUGAAUUGUAUCUGUUAGGUGCUUUGUUAUACAUCCCACUCCUGAAAAAAGCUCAGGCUAUUCAACCUCCCAGCAUCAGCUAGCAAGUGAACACCAAAUGGAAUUUAGCAAUUAUUAACAUUUCCUGUUUUUCAACUUCUUGGUAAGGUCGGUCUAUCCCUGGGUCAGUAAUAUCUUCUGGAGGAGGAAAUGGCAACCUGCUCCAGUAGUCUUGCUUUUGAAAUCCCAAGAACAGAGGAGCCUGGUGGGCUACAGUCCAUAGGGUCAAGAAAGAGAAGACUUAGCAACUAAACAAAAGUAUGUUUUACUGCCUUAAGUAAAAUACUUCUAAUCUUUGUAACAUGCCUUCAAGGUAUUUUACAGAUGAGAUUCAGAGGAGUUAAGUAAUCUGCCUAAGGCCACAUAAACUUUUUUAGCUAACGUGUGUGUGUAUUCAGUCAUG